GACAGUGUUGUGUAGUGGUUUGAGCGCUGGACUAUGACUCUAGAGACCAGGGUUCGAUUCCCCGCUUGGCCA